CCUGCACAGAAGUAAAAUUCACUAAUUUUGAUGCAACUUUCUAAUAACUGUAUUGCCAUACUGAGAUCAACUCUACUCUAUUGUUGUGCUUUAUAAGAUUUGUCAAUUAAAUUUGCAUAAUGAAGUUCAAUUCACUUUUUAUUUGAUUAUAAUGAUGACUGUGAAAGUUAAACUUAUUUUAGUGGAUUUAAAAUCACACCUUUUAUAGAUAUUUCAAAUCCAAACUCAAAUAAUUUUUUUAAUCUACAUUAAAAAACAAA
rnacentral:misc_RNA from 1 species